GCGACCCCAGGUCAGGCGGGACUACCCGCUGAAUUUAAGCAUAUCAAUAAGCGGA
rnacentral:rRNA from 1 species